AGGAGUUAAAGGCUCAGCUUGGGCAACAUGACAAAACCCGCCUCUGCAAAAAUACAAAAUUAGCCAGAUGUGGUGGUGCGUGCCUGUAGUCCCAGCUACUCGGGAGGCUGAGGUGGGAAGAUUGCUUGAGCCUAGGAGGAAGGGGUUGCAGUAAGCUGUGUCUGGCCUGGGUGAUAGAGCGAGAUACUGUGUCAAAAAAGAAAAAAGCCUUAUGCUUGUCAUUCUGGUACUUGAACUGAAAUUACAUUUGUAAAACAAAAUACUUGACCAAGGGAGCACUUUAUUCACACAUUGUACGCAUAUGUUGAUCUGAUCCUUCCAUCACAGAAGGACUUCCUGGUCUUGGCUCGGGAGAUUGUGAACAUUUGAACUGGCACUUCCUGUACUUAAUGGACCAGAGUUCAUAACUAGCAUGUGAUUAUCUUUAGGGUAAAGUCCUAGCAGUAGGAUCACUGGUUUGAUACAUAUUGCCAAACUGCUCCUACAGACGAGGUUUGCCAGUUUACACCAUCAGUGGCGAUAGUUUCUUCACACUCUGUAAUGUAAAUUUCGAUAAUCAUUUUCAUCUUUGCCAAUCAGAUGGAUGAAAAAUCACAUCUCAUUGUGUUAAUAUUUACAUUUGUUGGAUUGUCAGUGAAUAUCUUUUUAUAUUUAUAUUGAUCAUUUGUAUUUUUUUUCUUGCUUGUGAUUUUUGUCCAUUUUACUAAUAGGGUAUUUGUGUUCUUACUGAUUUUCACAAAGUGUAUAUUCAGGGUACUUUUUGACAUAGCUUUCCCUAGUUUAUUGUUUGUUUUUCAGACUUGUUUAUGGUUGUCUUUGCUGGUUAGAAAUUUUACAGUUUUGUAUGAUUAUGUUAACAUCCAUAUAGAAAUAAAGGAAAGGUAAGGGAGUGUGAGGAAAGUUGUGAAAUUACUUGUAGGCAAAGCAGUUUGGGCAUGGCAUAAAGUUAGCAACUUUGAGUUCAUUUGUAUACCAGUGCACAGUAAUGCUAUUACAUUUAUGAGAUUGUGUUUACUUUUUAAUUUGGAAGGCUCUGUUUCUCAGAAUUGGUUGCAACCAUGCCAGGCUUGGGCCACCGCGCCCGGCCUGUCGUUAUUUUUAAGGAGUGCAAAGAUUGGGGUCAGGAAAUCUUUAUACUGUAAUUGAGUUUAAGUACUUUUUAGCGUGGUCUACUUAGGUUGGUGCAAAAGUAAUUUGUGAUUUUUGCCAUUACUAUUUUUACCUACUUUUUUUUUUUUUGAGACAGAGUCUCACGCUGUUGCCCAGGCUGGAGUGCAGUGGCGAUCUCGGCUGCUGCAAGCUCCGCCUCCCGGGUUCCGCCAUUCUGCUGCCUCAGCCUCCUGAGUAGCUGGGACUACAGGUGCCCGCCACGCCCGGCUAAUUUUUUGUAUUUUUAGUAGAGGCGGGGUUUCACUGUGGUCUC
rnacentral:lncRNA from 1 species